UAUUAACAAGAUAGCUUUAAAGCCCUGCUCAGCUUUUGAAUGUUGGGAAUUGACCCAGAGGUGGCUGUAACCUAAGAUGGUUCCUUCAGUAAUGACCAUUUUUUCUUUUUCAAGAUGAUGAUUAUUCCCCACCUUCUAAGAGACAAAGACCAACGAGCCACCACAGCCACCAGUCCCAGAACCCGCCAAUUCUGGGGAACGGAAAAUGAGGGAGUUCAACUCUGGCCCUCACAAUCCAGUGGAGGAGACGAAACUCAUCUGCCUCUGUCCCUCUGGGCACGCCUCAUGCCAGGUGCAUCUGUGGACAGGGGCCAUGCUCCUGGGCUUCCAAAGUUGGAGAAAGCUGCCAGGCUCAGGUCUGAAGGCCAGAAUUCUACAGUAAGUCCUACUGAGUCAAGGUGGGAGCAGGGUCGGUGGCUUCCGAGGCUCUGCAGGAGAAUCCGUUUCCUGGCCGUAGAGGUGGCCUGCACUCCUCAGCUUGUGCUGCCCGUCUCGAAUGACUGGAGUUUCCUGCUUCUGUCACUACACCUCCCACCCUCUCCAUCACCUGCUCUGCUCUUGCAAGGAUCCGAGUGGAGUCUUGCUCUGUCAUCCAGGCUAGCAGUGGUGUGAUCUUGGCUCACUGCAAUGUCUGCCUCCUGGGUUCAGGUGAUUCUCCUGCCUCAGCCUCCUGAGUAGCUGGGACUACAGGUGCCCGCCACCAUGCCCUGCUGUUUUGUAUUUUUGAGAAAUGGAAUCAUCGUAUCGCUGAUCUACAUAAACAAAUUGAAGAAUUGUCUGAAAGAAAAUAUGACAUGAACUUAUGAAUUCAACAGGUGAAGAUUUACAACUUGAUAAAUCAGCUUUGUGAGCUCGAGCUGUAAAAGCCAAAGGUCCGGUGAUGAUCCCAUACCCUUUCUUCCAGUCUCAUGUUGAAGAUUUUUAUGUAGAAGGCCUUCCCAAAGGAUUUUUUUUUUUUUUGAGAUGGAGUUUUCACUCUUAUCGCCCAGGCUGGGGUGCAAUGGCGCAACCUUGCUGGUCACUGCAACCUCUGCCUCCUGGGUUCAAGAAAUUCUCCUGCCUUAGCCUCCCAAGUUGCUGGGAUUACAGGUGCCCACCCCCACACCAGGCUAAUUUUUGUAUUUUUAGUGGAGAUGGGGUUUCACCAUGUUGGCGGGGCCAGUCUCGAACUCCUGACAUCAAGUGAUCUUCCUGCCUCGACUCCUGACAUCAAGUGAUCUUCCCGCCUCGGCCUCCCAGAGUGCUGAGAUUACAGACGUGAACCCAUGUCUGGCCAGGAAUUUUGUUUUUUAGGAAGGCUUUCUACUAAUGGAAUUCCUGGCCUUGAGAGGAUGUUACUUUCGAAGAAAAGGAUUUUUUUGUUAUUAAAAGAAACAGGACCUUGCCUUGUCACUCAGGAUGGAGUUCAGUGCUCCUAUCAUGGCUCAUUAUAGCCUCAAACUCCCAGGCUCAAGCAAUCCUACCAUGUCAGCCUUCCCAUAGCUGGGACUACAGGUCUCACACUGUCACCCAGGCUGGAGUACAGUGGCACAACCUCUGCUCACUGCAGCCUCCACCUGCCAGGCUCAAGCAAUUCUCCUGCCUCAGCCUCCCGAGUAGCUGGGAUUACAGUUGAAGCAUAUGUCCUGCGAGCUUAGGGGUGCUACAAGUUGACCACUGCAGCAGUAAAGAUGACUCUGAAGAAUGGCGUGGGAUGGAUCCUUUCAAAUGCACUUGAGCAGCGGUCUCCAACCAUGGCCACAGAGCUGGAGGCUCUCCCUCUGUUGUCCAAGGCUGGAGGGUAGUAGUGCUAUCGCAGCUGACUGCAGCCUCAACCUUCCAGGCUGAAGCGAUCCUCCCAUCUCAACCUCCCACGUGGCUGAGACUACAGGUGCUUGCCACUAUGCCCAACUAAUAUUUGGAAUUUUCGUAUACGUGGAUUCCAGAGGGGUGACAGCGAAACAUGAGUGGGACCAUCCAGUUUCAGGAAAACGAGCUUAACAUGCCCACUGAUUCUACAUUAUGCUCCUACCUCCCGGCAACCUCACCAGGCCCAGAACUCUCUCCAGUCAACCUCUACAGACCAAGCUCAUGACUCACAAUGGCCUAUUUAGGCCCAUACCCUACCUCACGGCAGUCUCCGCAGAUGAGCCUACUGCCUCACAACAGCCUCCACAGGCACAGCUCCAUCGUUACAAUGGCCUCUUUAGACCCACCUCCUGCCUCCCAGCCUUCUCUCCAGGCCCUGAACUUUCUCCGCUCUCCCUCUGUUGUCCAAGGCUGGAGUGUAGUAGUGCUAUCGCAGCUGACUGCAGCCUCAACCUUCCAGGCUGAAGCGAUCCUCCCAUCUCAACCUCCCACGUGGCUGAGACUACAGGUGCUUGCCACUAUGCCCAACUAAUAUUUGGAAUUUUCGUAUACGUGGAUUCCAGAGAGGUGACAGCAAAACGUGAGUGGGACCAUCCAGUUUCAGGAAAACAAGCUUAACACGCCCACUGAUUCUACAUUAUGCUCCUACUUCCCGGCAGCCUCUCCAGGCCCAGAACUCUCUCCAGUCAGCCUCUACAGACCAAGCUCAUGACUCACAGUGACCUAUUUAGGCCCAUACCCCACCUCAUGGCAGUCUCCGUAGAUGAGCCUACUGCCUCACAACAGCCUCCACAGACACAGCUCCAUCGUUAUAAUGGCCUCUUUAGACCCAGCUCCUGCCUCCCAGCCUUCUCUCCAGGCCCUGAGCUUUCUCAAGUCAACCUCACCAGGCCCAGCUCAUGCUUCUUUGCAGCCUCUCCAGGCCCAUCUCCUGCAUCUUGGCCCCUCCAGGCUCAGCCUCUGCCUCCCGUCGGCCUCUACAGUCCCAACAUCUACCUCACAGUAGAUUCUUCAGGCCCAGCAUCUGCCUCACUGUGGACCCCCCAAGCCAAGCUCCCAACCUUUCAGCAGCUUCUACACACCCAGCUCCCGCCUGCCAGUGGCCUCUUCAGGCCCAUGUGGCUCAUUCCUCACAACAGCCUUUCCAGGCCCAGUUUUUCCCUUCCGGCAGCCUCUCUGGGCUGAGAACCUCCUCAAGUCGGCCUCUCCAGACCACUUGCACCCUCCAGGCGUUCUCUCCGGGCCAAGCUCCUCUUCCUGGCUGUGUCUCCAAGCCCGACUUCUGCCUCUCAACAACCUCUUUGGACUCAGUGCCUACCCAUCUCCUGGCGUCCUUGGUCGGCCCACAGCUUCCUCAAGCCAAGCUCCCCAGGCCCAGGUCAGGCCUCACGGUGGCCUCUCCAGGAUGAGCUCCUGCACUCCGAUGGCACCUGCAGGCCCCAAAUGGUCUCCGGUCGGUGGGCUUCUCCACGCCAAGCUUGGGCCUCCCGGCGACCUCUGCAGGCCCAAGUUGUCCUGAAGUCGGCAUCUCCCGGCCGUGCCUCCCAGCAAGUAAGCAAGCUCUUUUGGCUCAACUCCUGCCCAGCUCCCAACCGCCUUUGUAGGUCCCGAACUUUCUCCAGCCAAGUACUUCGGGCCUAAUUCCUGCCACCCGGUGGCCUGUACGGGCCCAGCAAUGGUUGGAGAGUGGCCUCUGCAGGU